rnacentral:rRNA from 1 species
UGUUCAGUUCAUGAACAUGCAUUGGGAAUUCUAAUGCACCUUAUCACUUAUAGGAAGGACAAUUCAUAACAAGGUUUCUGUAGGUGAACCUGCGGAAGGAUCAUUU